GGGUCAGCAGGUUGGUCGUGCCACCGGUACGUACUGGUCUCACUGAUUCCUCCUUCCUGAAGAACCGUAAUGCCAUUAAUUUGGUGUUGCGGGGAAACAGGACUGUUACUUUGAAAAAAUUAGAGUGUUUAAAGCAAGCUAACGAUCGAAUACAUUAGCAUGGAAUAAUGAAAUAGGACGAUCGAUCCUAUUUUGUUGGUUUCUAGGAUUGACGUA
rnacentral:rRNA from 1 species